GGGCCGUAUUCUAGUCUCUCAGUGAAGAGGAGUGGGCAGUUGUACAGGGGAAGAGCCCCGACAACCCUCUGAGCUUCCAGGUCCUGUUGUCCAGCCAGUGGGUUACCCAGGGGAACUCUUUGCUCUUUUGCCUUCUUCUAGGUCCUGCCUCUGCUACUAGUGUUUGGAAAUGCUCAUUAAUUUUAAUACUAACAUGGGGAAAGCUAAUUAGGAAGGUGAAUCCACUGCAAAAUAAAUUAUCUGAUGCAUUUACAAAGGAAUGAAUUAUCUAUUGUUCAGGAUUGCUCUGCUCCACUCCCCUUCCAUUAGCACAGCUCAGAGCCAGCCGGGUGUGAGCUGCACUUGUUCUUCCACUGUGGGGGCCAGAGGAUGCUGUAGACAAUAAGCAUGAAUAAGCUUCAAGGAGGAAGAGGUCCUGUUAGGCCAGGGCAGACAGAAAGCCUUCAUAGAGCUGGGAAUUGAACUAAUUUUUAGCUGGGGGAGAUAUUCUACAACAUAAUUUGUCAUGACUAUUCAUGAUUCCAUUGUAUAGUUUUUACAAUUUGGUCAAUCACCUAUUGUUGAGUCAAUCCCCUAUUGUUGAACAUCGAAGUUAUUUCUAUUUUUU
rnacentral:lncRNA from 1 species